AUAAAAUAGGCUCUGUGUUUGCUUUCUCAGCACAUACAGAGAAAAUUAGCAAGGUCCCUGUGCAAGGAUGACACACAACUUUGUGAAACAUUCCAGAAUUUU
rfam:Ictidomys tridecemlineatus contig016527, whole genome shotgun sequence.